ACACGACUACAUUAGAUACCCGGUAGUCCUAGCCGUAAACGAUACUCGCUAGGUGUCGGCCACGGUGCGACCGUUGUCGGUGCCGUAGGGAAGCCGUGAAGCGAGCCACCUGGGAAGUACGGCCGCAAGGCUGAAACUUAAGGAAUUGCGGGGGAGCACCACAACGGGUGGAGCCUGCGGUUUAAUUGGACUCAACGCCGGGAAGCUCACCGGAUAAGACAGCGGAAUGAUUGCCGGGCUGAAGACCCUGCAUGACCAGCUG
rnacentral:rRNA from 1 species